rnacentral:rRNA from 1 species
UAGGGAAUCUUCCACAAUGGGCGAAAGCCUGAUGGAGCAACGCCGCGUGUGUGAUGAAGGGUUUCGGCUCGUAAAACACUGUUGUAAGAGAAGAAUGACAUUGAGAGUAACUGUUCAAUGUGUGACGGUAUCUUACCAGAAAGGGACGGCUAACUACGUGCUAG